UACGUAGGGGGCGAGCGUUGUCCGGAUUUAUUGGGCGUAAAGAGCUCGUAGGCGGUUUGGUAAGUUGGAUGUGAAAUCUCCAGGCUCAACUUGGAGGGGUCAUUCGAUACUGCCAUGACUAGAGUUCGGUAGGGGAGUGUGGAAUUCCUGGUGUAGCGGUGGAAUGCGCAGAUAUCAGGAAGAACACCGGUGGCGAAGGCGGCUCUCUGGGCCUUACCUGACGCUGAGGAGCGAAAGCGUGGGUAGCGAACAGG
rnacentral:rRNA from 1 species